UGAAAAAAAAAAAAAAGAAAAAAAAUCAAGUGACUGGCAGAGAACGCAGCUGGCUCCUUCCUCCUCCCCAGGUUUGUUUGUUUUCCGUAGUCACCGAGGUCAUCCUGGAAAAGCCAUGGGGUGCUUCUCCAUCCCCAGCCUGUGCUUCCUCCUCUCCCUCCCCGGAGUCCUGCGUGAAGGAAGAAGGAUGAGCUACGAAGGAUGAAGGAUGAAGGACGAAGGAUGAAGGAUGAAGGAUGGGCUGUUUCUCCGGAGAGGAGGAGGAGGAGAGAAGUGCUUUUCCCUCGGGAGCCCUGCAGUUCCUGGACAAGGAGCCCAAGCUCUGCCUCGGGGAAUACACUGGGCAAAACCUCGCUCGGUGAACCCCACGGUCAGAGGAGUUCUUGGGUGGCCCCGUGGCUUUCUGUCCCCUCUGAUGAGGGACCUGGGACCCUGAAGAAGCCAAGGCUGACCACAGUGAACUCUGUGGUGCCUGUGCCAUUGGACAGCACCAGGGAAAAGCGCUAACAAACAGGGCCUUAGCAAGGCACUGCUGAAGUCCCGGCGCAGAGCAGCAGAGUCCAGCAGGAAUGAAACGACCACCUGACACACGGAUACGUGGAAAAUGACUCGGAGCCUGUAGGAGCCACCCGUCUCCAGCCUGAGGUCCGCAUGUGUGGUCUGGAAGAGGCAGGUCCUUGCCUCCCUUCCUGUCUGUGCUUCAUGCUAAUCCCCUUCUUCCCCUGCACCUCUCUCUUCCUUCACACUCCUGCUUCUUCUGCUUCUUUAUUUUUUUUUUUUUGUGGUGUGACUCCAGGAGGGACAAACCUCACCUCAUCUCAGCCCUUAUGUGAGAAGGUUUGGGGCUCGAGAUUUGAUGGGUAUUUAUUUUUCUGCUCGCUUUUACCUGGCCCAGGUUGCCCCAGCAGCUCUGUCUCCUCAGGCCAGGAUGCUCUGUGGUGGCAACUGGUGAAUGAAGCACAAGACCAAACCCUGGCAGGAGGGGCCCAUGGGCCACCAGGCAUCCCCAGAGAUGAUGGGGGCACACAGGAAGCUUGGACGUCUCUGAUGGUGAUGAUGAUGACGAUGCCUGCAGGGACAGUGGCCCAGGCAAUAACUCAUGGGAACACGCUCAUGCUCCAGCCAGCCCCUCUGACUUCCUGUAUCCCAGGGAAAAAAAAAAAAAAAGGAGAAAUAGAAAUCAGUUGACAGAAUCCCACAUCGGGGGCUUGAGACCACCUUGGAUGGAUCUAAAGGGCAGCCAAGGUUGGCCUGUGUGCCGCUCACCCUGGGUGUGGUGGGUGCAUCUCUGGCCCCAUGCGGGGGCUCUGCCAGCUUUGGGACAUGGUGUGGUGUCCCAGGACAGUCCCUGUGACUGCCCCUGGAUCCCUGGCAGUGUCCAAGGCCAGGCUGGACACUGGGGCUCGGAGCAGCCUGGGAUAGUGGAAGGUGCCCAUGGCAGGGGUGGCACUGGAUGAGCUCUAAGGCCACUUCCAGCCCAAACCAUUCCAUGCUUUUAUGGCAAGAAGAACUGCGGCCACGGAGGUCCCUGCCCAGCAUUUUGGGUCCAUCACCCCCCCAGGACUGCCCUGCCUGACUCGUGGAUGGACAUUCCCCACCUGCCGUGAGCCACUGUCCCGCGCGGCACCGGGGCUGUGCCAGCUGGUCCCUGGCCCAGUUCCUGCUGCGUUCCCACCCCAUCACUGAUUUGGGAAAGCAAGCCACGGGCGGGCAGGGCCCCUCCUGAACGAGGGUUUCUGCAAUGAGGGAUGUUAGGAAAUCCCAUUACGGAUCUCCCGGCCAUGUGUGAAGCAGGGAUGGUUUUUUUCCAGCGAAGUGCCCAGACAACUCCAAAGACGUGAUGAACUGCGAAUGACCCACGGAGCCCAUUGUCUCUAGGAGCUGGUGAAAAAGCCACAGCGACCAGGCAGGGGUGUCACACCCGGCUGCAAAACAAUGAUGCUUGAAGUGGUGGCGUGAAGCCGGGAAUGGGGACAGUCCCCUUCCGGAGCGCGGAGCCGGGAGAACACGCCGGUGACAAUGAGGGACACCCAGAGUGAGCCACGCACGUCCCCAGCCUCAAACCACCUUUGCAUGGGAGCAAAUCCACUGGUGAGCCGCAGCCCUCAACUGGAAGCACAUGCUCUGGCUGUAUCCAUCGUCCAGGCUGGAGCAGGGAUGAGGGAGGCGAACCCUUUUGUAAGUGUUGGCCGGGAGAAAUGUGGCUUAUCUUCGAGAAAUGAAUCACGUUUCAGCAAAUGCUUCCUGCAGAAAUAUUUUUCUCACAGCCUUUGUUCGGGGUUUUGGCAGAUCUGGAGUUGCUGGCGUUAGCAAAAGCCGUCCCUCCCGCCCACUGUUCCUGGGGCUGGAGUAGGAAGUCAGGAAUCAAGGCAGAGGGGACGUGGAAGGCUAAAUCCAUCAGCGCUCCUGCUCCGCGCUGCAGCAGGAUGUGGAGCUUAGAGGAGAAUUUCAGAGGAGAGCCCCGGAUAAAGUCCAGGAGAGCUGAGUGCUUGGCUGCUCUUGCAGAGGUACCUGUGCUGGGCAGUCAGCUUGGAAUUCUGACACCGGGACAAAUCCCUGGCAGGUGCUGCGGCCCGGUGGAAGCCAGCCCUUAGCUCCUCCUUCCUCUCCUGGAAACCAGCAUUUUAGGAGGGGGAAAGGGCAAUAUCUCCCGUUCCCAUGUGUGGUUGGGCCCAGAACAUGGAAAGAAAAUGAAAGAAAAAUCCGUGCUAUGACACGCGAAUCAAUGCCGAGCUCCUCGUCUGCCUCUCCAAAGGCUUUGACAGGGAUCCUGUCUGCCUUCCCACCAGUCACAAACAUUGCUCUGGGUCUCAGCUCAGGAGGGCAGGGAGGAAAAAUGUGCAUCUUGGUUCUGGAGAACUUCAAGGAUUUUUCUUCCCAGUGGCAGGGAAUUUUUCCUGGGAAGGCAAUUUCGUUCCUGGGCCUGGUAGGCUCCCUGAUCAUUUUAAAGCAGACCCCUGGGGGGAAUAAGGCCUUUAAAAGCUCCAUUUGCUCCCAGUCAUUUUACACAGUAACCCAACCUGAAGUGAAGGAUCUUUAUUUAAAUAUGAAUUAAGCCCCAGCCUUCUCCUUUACUGUGUUAUUUUCCUUUGAGGUUUACUUUGAUAUUAUUUCAAAGUCUUGAAGCUAACAAAACGCUGGCCCAUAUUUAAAGUGACAGGAGAGUUCUGGAAAAAGAUUUAGGAGGCAACUGAAGUCUUUCAGUGCAGGGCUCCGAAACAGGACAGGAAAUCAUAAAAGGGCUGAGUGCACUUUACCAUGCUCCAAACAAAUUCUGAGACUACAAAGGCGAGGGGAAUGGCGUCAAAACCACAAAAAGCAUCAAGGUGCAGCUGGAAAACCUGGAAUUAUUCUGUUAAAACACGGGCAAAAUGCUGGCAGUGAUGGAAUCACUGAACCAUGGAACGGUUCGGGUUGGAAGGGUGGUUGAAGAUCAUCUCAUCCCACCCCCUGCCAUGGGCAGGG